CACUUAUUUGGCUCCACUAAUACUUGGGACUCUGUAAAAACAAAUUUUCUUCAGCCCCUUCUUUUUUUUUUUUUUAAAAAAAAAAGAAAAGGCAAACUCAUAACAAUCUUUGGGAUUAGUAAGAAAUAAAAGAAAGAAUCUUUCAAAGAAAAUCAAAAGGUGUGCCAGCAGUUGCGGUGAUACUACUUGUUCUAUUUACAGUUAAUAAUUUGCAAAUUUGAAAUCUUUCUUAAAGAAAAUAGUUGACGCCAGCAACCUUAUUUCAUCUAAUAAAGAAGUUGUUGAAAUAAUUUUUUAAAUUCAAAUUUUUGAAGCAGGAUUGCCAGAAUCUCAUUAGAUAAGAGAGUAUGCCUUUUAAAAUAAAGCAAAUUAACCAAAAUAUUUGGCGGUCUUCAAAACUUGUUUAGAUGGACUUGUUUAGUAAAUGAUAGUACACAAUUAUCUUGCCUAUCUUAAAAAUCUCUAUAUUUUUGUUUGUGAUUAUUUUUUGUAAAACUAACUUUAAAUUACCAAAUUCAAUAAAACCAAAAGGGGUUUUACUUGAAGAAAAACAAAUCAAUAUGGUGUUCAUAGAUAGGGUGAGAAGGAGUCACUUAAUAUUUUUUUAAAAAAAAUCAUGUUUGGAAUGCUCAAAUGAAAUUAGAGUAAAGAAACAGAAUUUAAUAGUAAUAACUGAAAAAAAAAUCUGUUAUGAAUAGAAAAAUGGAGGUGUUCAUACUGCCCAACAAUUCUCUUUUCUCUUUUCUCUUUUCUCUUUUCUCUUUUCUCUUUUCUCUUUUCUCUGCUCGUUGUUGUUAAAUCCGUUAUCCGUUGUCCGUUUCCUGUUGUCCGUUUCCUGUUGUCCGUUUUAGAAAAAAAAAGAAAGAGAAGAGAAAGAGAAUAAGUUGUCACAAGGUUAGCAUACGGAAAUGUGUGCUAGAAAUCGU
rnacentral:rRNA from 1 species